AGCGUGCUUCUCCCAGAGGAGCAGCCGACGAGGAGCUGGUGGAGCCCUCUGAAAUGUGACUCUGGAGAGUGUGACGAGCAUUGCCUUGUUGGAGAGAUGCAAAUCUGCAAGGGAUGAAGUUUUUGGCGAAACUGGACUUUUCCUAACACCAAGCAACAGAAGGGCAAUACGACAGAAAAUGAUAAACGGAUUCCUGAUUUCUACUGUUUCAGAGACCAGAAAAGACCAUCUACUCUAAGCCCCUUCUAUCGAGGGACAUAAGCAACUGUUUCAGGUUGCUCCUGCUGACUCAACAUGUGCAGUUGACUAAAAGUUAUCACUUGGAAACACCUCCAGAGCACUAUACCUUUUCUCAGUCCUGUUG
rnacentral:lncRNA from 1 species